rnacentral:lncRNA from 1 species
UUUAAAAAAAAUAUAGAAAAUAUAAUAUAAGGUUUAAUAAAAAGAAAUAAAAAACCUUAAACCCUAAUUAACUUUGGGUUUGGGCUACACAACUUGGAUUAUAUCAUAACAUGCCUUAAUAAUAUAUAUAUGAUGUAUUAAGAAAACCACCGCUAAAUUAUUAAAAUACCAAACAAAAAAACUACAUGUUAUGCACAAUGAAAGACCUAUUAAGAUCUCUCACCCUAGACAGGCUCCAAGUUUGAAGAAGUUGUUAUCCACUUU